CAGCCGCCGCGGGAAUACAGAGGGUGCGAGCGUUAAUCGGAUUUACUGGGCGUAAAGCGUGCGUAGGCGGCUUCUUAAGUCGGAUGUGAAAUCCCUGAGCUUAACUUAGGAAUUGCAUUCGAUACUGGGAAGCUAGAGUAUGGGAGAGGAUGGUAGAAUUCCAGGUGUAGCGGUGAAAUGCGUAGAGAUCUGGAGGAAUACCGAUGGCGAAGGCAGCCAUCUGGCCUAAUACUGACGCUGAGGUACGAAAGCAUGGGGAGCAAACAGGAUUAGAGACCCCCGUAGUCCCUGUCUCUUAUAA
rnacentral:rRNA from 1 species